rnacentral:lncRNA from 1 species
GGUGUAGGUAGGUGGGACUGUCAAGAAGCUAAGUUCUUUGAACAGGUUCAUGUAGUGUGGUCAGGCCCGGGGAGAGGGGCCGGAAAGCUUGAGUCCAGAAAUUAGGAGACUUCUCAGUGCCUGCACGGGAAAGGGGCUGCAGCCUUACAAAGAGUGUGGUGCAUUAGGUGAAACCUAGUGGCUCUAAAGAGAUCCUAGCUAUACUGCAAGGCUCUUUGUGUGCUAAGGGGUUGGGUACAGAGCCCCUACUCCCGUCAUUCUUCGUCACUUCAAUCAGUGCUCACAACGUCCAGCUGUUUUCUUGGUUGGGAUAUUAUGAUAUAAAUAAUACUUCUUUCUUUUAAUGGACUUUGCUCUUUGUAGUCUGAGACUUCUCUUAUUCCUCCAAGAGUGGUCAGUGACCCAGAUGAUAUCUAUUAAAAACCCUAGAAAAUGGUCAAAAGUUUAUGAGCAAAAAUAAAUCAAUCUCGAUUUUGAUCUGGGGAUUGGCAAUCUAUUGGGCUUAAGAAUUUGCCAUCUCUUUACCAAGUUAUCUUGAAUGGAGAGCUAACACCAGUGCGAGGACUUACCUUUCAGACUUCUCUAGUGCUCUAUGCACCACAGGGAAUCAUUUCUCUAGGCCACCUUCUGCUCUAUCUCCCACUGACAGUGUGUUCUUGCUCUGAAAGUACUGAUUGUUCCUUUUGACUUAAAGAUCUUCACCUUCUCUCAAAAGGGUACCUGGACAGUGAUGGGUGUAGACAAGGUCCCAUUUUUACCCUUCUGUGCUUACUGCCUUUUUUUUUUUUUUUUUUGAUACGAUGGUCUCACCUCAUUAGAGGGGGACAUUCUCAAAAGCGAUGGAGUCGGAGGAAGUCAUGGAGAUUUUAGAUCCUCAUCAGAUCGUUGGAGGCAAAGGAGAAGAAAUCUAGAGGAAAUACCAGAGAAGGGAACAAGCCCUUGCUACAUUCAAGAUGCUCAGUGAACCCCAAGCAGACAAAUAUAAAGAAAAUUACACAUAGUUAAACUACUGUACAUCCAAAAUAAUGGGAAAAUCUCAAACUGUCAGAAAAAAAGACACAUUACAUUCAGGGGAACAGCAAUAAGAAUAACAGUGACUUUUCAACAACAACGACAAAAAAAUGGAAGCCAGAGACAAUGGAACUAUUUCUUUAAAGUGCCUAAAGGGGAAAGAAAUAAAAUAAAAGCUAGCCUGUAAUUCUAUCUCCAAUGAAAGCAUAUUCUAUAAAACAAAGUGGAAUAAAGACAUUCUUCAACAAAUAA